GGUUGUUUAGGAUAUAGUGUAUAUGUGUGGUUGGUUCUUGUAGCACGAUACUGUUUAUAUUCAAACACUUCUGCGAAUGAUAUACCAUUAAGACUGAAAACGGUUUUAUAACACUCGACCAGAGAUAGGAAUUCUCUUCGUUUCUCUAGAGUGUUCCAUUUUAAUAAUUCACAUCGGUCUUUGUAUGGCAUUUCACCUCAUCUUUGU